GACGAACGCUGGCGGCGUGCUUAACACAUGCAAGUCGAACGGAAAGGCCCUGCUUUUGUGGGGUGCUCGAGUGGCGAACGGGUGAGUAACACGUGAGUAACCUGCCCUUGACUUUGGGAUAACUUCAGGAAACUGGGGCUAAUACCGGAUAGGAGCUCCUGCUGCAUGGUGGGGGUUGGAAAGUUUCGGCGGUUGGGGAUGGACUCGCGGCUUAUCAGCUUGUUGGUGGGGUAGUGGCUUACCAAGGCUUUGACGGGUAGCCGGCCUGAGAGGGUGACCGGCCACAUUGGGACUGAGAUACGGCCCAGACUGGUACGGGAGGCAGCAGUGGGGAAUAUUGCACAAUGGGCGGAAGCCUGAUACAGCAGCGCCGCGUGCGGGAUGACGGCCUUCGGGUUGUAAACCGCUUUCGCCUGUGACGAAGCGUGAGUGACGGUAAUGGGUAAAGAAGCACCGGCUAACUACGUG
rnacentral:rRNA from 1 species